GAACGCUGGCGGCGUGCCUAAUACAUGCAAGUCGAGCGAACAGAUGAGGAGCUUGCUCCUCUGACGUUAGCGGCGGACGGGUGAGUAACACGUGGAUAACCUACCUAUAAGACUGGGAUAACUUCGGGAAACCGGAGCUAAUACCGGAUAAUAUAUUGAACCGCAUGGUUCAAUAGUGAAAGACGGUUUUGCUGUCACUUAUAGAUGGAUCCGCGCCGCAUUAGCUAGUUGGUAAGGUAACGGCUUACCAAGGCAACGAUGCGUAGCCGACCUGAGAGGGGGAUCGGCCACACUGGAACUGAGACACGGUCCAGACUCCUACGGGAGGCAGCAGUAGGGAAUCUUCCGCAAUGGGCGAAAGCUUGACGGAGCAACGCCGCGUGAGUGAUGAAGGUCUUCGGAUCGUAAAACUCUGUUAUUAGGGAAGAACAAAUGUGUAAGUAACUAUGCACGUCUUGACGGUACCUAAUCAGAAAGCCACGGCUAACUACGUG
rnacentral:rRNA from 1 species